rnacentral:rRNA from 1 species
AACGAACGCUGGCGGCAUGCCUAACACAUGCAAGUCGAACGAGACCUUCGGGUCUAGUGGCGCACGGGUGCGUAACGCGUGGGAACCUGCCCUUAGGUUCGGAAGAACUCCCCGAAAGGGGUGCUAAUACCGGAUAAUGUCUUCGGACCAAAGAUUUAUCGCCUUUGGAUGGGCGCGCGUUGGAUUAGCUAGUUAGUAGGGUAAAAGCCUACAACGGCGACGAUCCAUAGCUGGUCUGAGAGGAUGAUCAGCCACACUGGGACGGAGACACGGCCGAGACUCCUACGGGAGGCGGCAGUGGGGAAUAUUGGACAGUGGGGGAAAGGCUGAACCAGCAAUGCCGCGUGAGUGAUGAAGGCCUUAGGGUUGUAAAGCUCUUUUACCCGGGAUGAUAAUGACAGUACCGGGAGAAUAAGCACCGGCUAACUCCGUG